GUCUUGGUGGUGAAAUAGUAGACACGCAAGACUCAAAAUUUCAUGUUAAAGAGUGUGGAGGUUCAAGUCCUCUUCAAGGCA
rfam:Lupinus angustifolius cultivar Tanjil contig_55104, whole genome shotgun sequence.